rnacentral:rRNA from 1 species
GGCCUGCGCGGAAGAUGUAACGGGGCUUAAGCCAUAUACCGAAGCUGUGGAUUCAUACUUUGUAUGAGUGGUAGAGGAGCGUUCUGUACGCCUGUGAAGGUGAAUCGUAAGGUUUGCUGGAGGUAUCAGAAGUGCGAAUGCUGACAUGAGUAACGAUAAAGGGAGUGAAAAACUCCCUCGCCGGAAGACCAAGGGUUCCUGUCCAACGUUAAUCGGGGCAGGGUAAGUCGACCCCUAAGGCGAGGCCGAAAGGCGUAGUCGAUGGGAAACGGGUUAAUAUUCCCGUACUUCUUACAAUUGCGAUGGGGGGACGGAGAAGGCUAGGUGGGCCUGGCGACGGUUGUCCAGGUUCAAGUGCGUAGGCUUAAGAGUUAGGUAAAUCCGGCUCUUUCUAAGGCUGAGACACGACGUCGAGCAUCUACGGAUGUGAAGUCAUUGAUGCCAUGCUUCCAGGAAAAGCCUCUAAGCUUCAGAUUGUAAGGAAUCGUACCCCAAACCGACACAGGUGGUCGGGUAGAGAAUACCAAGGCGCUUGAGAGAACUCGGGUGAAGGAACUAGGCAAAAUGGUACCGUAACUUCGGGAGAAGGUACGCCGACUAUGGUGAUGGGACUUGCUCCCUAAGCUGAAGUCGGUCGAAGUAACCAGGUGGCUGGAACUGUUUAUUAAAAACACAGCACUGUGCAAAAUCGAAAGAUGACGUAUACGGUGUGACGCCUGCCCGGUGCCGGAAGGUUAAUUGAUGGGGUUAGACUUCGGUCGAAGCUCUUGAUCGAAGCCCCGGUAAACGGCGGCCGUAACUAUAACGGUCCUAAGGUAGCGAAAUUCCUUGUCGGGUAAGUUCCGACCUGCACGAAUGGCGUAACGAUGGCCACACUGUCUCCACCCGAGACUCAGUGAAAUUGAAAUCGCUGUGAAGAUGCAGUGUACCCGCGGCUAGACGGAAAGACCCCGUGAACCUUUACUACAGCUUGGCACUGAACAUUGACCCUACAUGUGUAGGAUAGGUGGGAGGCUUUGAAACCAUGUCGCUAGAUAUGGUGGAGCCGUCCUUGAAAUACCACCCUUGUAUGCUUGAUGUUCUAACGUCGGUCCCUAAUCGGGAUUGCGGACAGUGCCUGGUGGGUAGUUUGACUGGGGCGGUCUCCUCCCAAAGAGUAACGGAGGAGCACGAAGGUGGGCUAAACACGGUUGGACAUCGUGUGGUUAGUGCAAUGGCAUAAGCCCGCUUGACUGCGAGAAUGACAAUUCGAGCAGGUGCGAAAGCAGGUCAUAGUGAUCCGGUGGUUCUGAAUGGAAGGGCCAUCGCUCAACGGAUAAAAGGUACUCCGGGGAUAACAGGCUGAUACCGCCCAAGAGUUCAUAUCGACGGCGGUGUUUGGCACCUCGAUGUCGGCUCAUCACAUCCUGGGGCUGAAGUCGGUCCCAAGGGUAUGGCUGUUCGCCAUUUAAAGUGGUACGCGAGCUGGGUUUAGAACGUCGUGAGACAGUUCGGUCCCUAUCUGCCGUGGGCGUUGGAAAAUUGAAGGGGGCUGCUCCUAGUACGAGAGGACCGGAGUGGACGAACCUCUGGUGUUCGGGUUGUCAUGCCAAUGGCAUUGCCCGGUAGCUAAGUUCGGAAUCGAUAACCGCUGAAAGCAUCUAAGCGGGAAGCGAGCCCUGAGAUGAGUUUUCCCUGACACUUUAAGUGUCCUAAAGGGUUGU